rnacentral:tRNA from 1 species
CAAGGAAUAGUAUAUAGAGUAUGUUUUGUUUACACCAAAGAGGAGAAGUUUCUUCCUUGA